UAAGUGUGUGACUCAAUGACGUUUUUAUUAAUUUGAAAAGUGGAAAAUGAAAUUUAAAGCUUGUUAAAAUAGUUAAGUGACGUGCAUCAACCACCUGCUGGCAGAACUGGAAUUUCACAAGCACAUUGCACAAAAAAUUGCCCAGAAAAAGAUAAUGGGGAGGGCAU